ACAAAACACAAUUUCACAAAAUAAAAUUCAGAUAUGCCAGGGGAGCAUACAUAUUACAUACAUUUGACAUAAAAACAUUCAGGUUUCUGCAACUUUUUUUUUUUUAGGUUUCUGCAACUUUCAUAUAGACAUACAGCUUUCCCUUCAACACACCUGAACCAAUCUGGCAACCCAAAUAAUGACGUUACGCCACUCUUAGCAACGAUUGGUCCACAUCAUUUCAUCUGAGCCUGGCACAGUGUACAUUUACGAGCGCAUUUUGUUUCAAUAAAGUUGGGAAAAAGAAAAAAAAACGACCGCAUUUUGUCACGUUGAUCAACACGACAACAAAAGAAAACUUUAUGCCAAAGAGACUUUAUCCAUCAGGAGCUGAAAAAAGAUGAAGAAUUUCAACAUCAGUCACAAGGAAAGUUUGGAGGAUGUUGGGGCCGUUUCUUCUCCUGCCUUUCUGUGCAGCUGAGCGAUUUACGUAAAUAUCAAUCCGAGUAUCAAAUAGUGCUGGAGGAGGUGCAGCGUCCACAUCCCAAGAUGUUCCUGACAUCACUGAAGAUGUCAUCUCAGCUGCAGAAGAAACUCCUGUCACUACAUCUUCUGUGGUUGAUGCUGCUGCUGGUAAGUUUGGUCCAGCUGAACGGCCAACCACACUCUCUGAUCCAGUAAGAAUGGAUUUGGUGCAAAGAGGUCCUUUUCAGACGGAUAAAGACUCUGACUUUCCAAAAUCCCCAUCA